rnacentral:lncRNA from 1 species
UGAUGGAAGUAUAUAUGAAAAUAGAUUGCUAGAUGGUGUGAAAUCUUUCAAUGGUAAGAAGUAUGAGAAUAAAGAUAAAUAGGAUUCUCCAAGCUCACAUUUGUAUUACUGUCUAGUUUUCCUCUUGUGGCUCUUACUCCUUCUUGUAUGAAUUGAUUUUAUGUUUAGUUGUUUCAAAUAUAGCUGCCCUUUUUCAAAUAGUCUUUCAUUUUCCUGCUUAGUAAAACUUUGGCUUUUGUCAAAUUUAGUUGUAAAGCAGGUCUAAAUCUGGGUCUGCAUGGAAAAUGUGAAGUAAAGAAUUGGCAGUAGUUCCAGGCAUUUCAGUAACUCAAAGAACUGAGCAUUUAUGCCCUACCUACCAGAAAGUUUUCAAUUUGUUGUCUCCAUCAUUGUAACUCAUUAGGGAAUGAAUUUGCACUUUAUAGGAUUUUCCUAAUUCCAUUUUGUUCACUUUUGUGCACUUGAAUAUGUUGGGUUAUUGAUAUUUUUGCAGAUAGUCAUGGUAUAUGGAGAUUAAUUGAAAUUUCUCAUUCAGGGAAGUCAUUAAAUUCCCCUGUGUUCCCGACUCUUCCCUUAGGUGGGAAGGUUGAUGUCAGUAAUCUGGAAAACAUUUUGGAAAACAUGAAAAUCAAGUUCCCAGAUAAGAAACUUAAAGAUUUGUCACAAAACCUACCAGUUGAUGCUUCUGGCAUGACUGACCUGCAUAAACUGCUAAAAGAAGUGAAGAAACUCACAGGUGAGCAAGACGUUUUGUGAAAAGAUGUAAAACUGAAAUGCAAAUACUUCAUGUUCACAUACAUAUUUAAAGCUGCAUUUUCUUAUUCUGCCAUUAACUUUAACUUCUGUUUUUCUACUGAUUAAAAUUUACUCUAAGGAGUUCCCGUCAUAAACCAGCAGAAACAAGUCUGACUAGGAACCAUGAGGUUGAGGGUUUGAUCCCUGACCUCACUCAGUGGGUUAAGGAUCCGGCGUUGCUGUGAGCUGUGGUGUAGGUCGCAGACGCGGCUCGGAUCCUGCGUUGCUGUGGCUCUGGCAUAGUCUGGCAGCUGUAGCUCCAAUGAGACCCCUAGCCUGGGAACCUCCAUAUGCUGCAGGUGUGGCCCUAAAAAGCAAAAAAACAAAAAUUGAAAUAAAAUAAAAUUUACUCUAAUGACA